CAGUAGCCGCGGUAAUACGAAGGGGGCUAGCGUUGUUCGGAAUCACUGGGCGUAAAGCGCACGUAGGCGGACACUUAAGUCAGAGGUGAAAUCCCAAGGCUCAACCUUGGAACUGCCUUUGAUACUGGGUGUCUUGAGUUCGGGAGAGGUGAGUGGAACUGCGAGUGUAGAGGUGAAAUUCGUAGAUAUUCGCAAGAACACCAGUGGCGAAGGCGGCUCACUGGCCCGAUACUGACGCUGAGGUGCGAAAGCGUGGGGAGCAAACAGGAUUAGAUACCCCCGUAGUCCCUGUCUCUUAUAC
rnacentral:rRNA from 1 species